UACAGAGGUCUCGAGCGUUGUUCGGAUUCAUUGGGCGUAAAGGGCGCGUAGGCGGCGGGGUAAGUCGGGUGUGAAAUCUCAGGGCUCAACCCUGAAACUGCACUCGAUACUGCUCUGCUUGAGGACUGGAGAGGAGACUGGAAUUCAUGGUGUAGCAGUGAAAUGCGUAGAGAUCAUGAGGAAGACCAGUGGCGAAGGCGGGUCUCUGGACAGUGCCUGACACUGAGACACGAAGGCCAGGGGAGCAAACGGG
rnacentral:rRNA from 1 species